GAUGAACGCUGUCGGCGUGCCUAAUACAUGCAAGUCGAUCGAACUUACUAGAAGCUUGCUUCUCUGAUGUUAGCUGCGGACGGGUGAGUAACACGUGGAUAACCUACCUAUAAGACUGGGAUAACUUCGGGAAACCGGCGCUAUUACCUGAUCAUAUUUUGAACCGCAUGGUUCUAAAGUGAAAGACGGUCUUGCUGUCCCUUAUAGUUGGAUCCGCGCUGCAUUAGCUAGUUGGUAAGGUAACGGCUUACCAAGGCAACGGUGCAUAGCCGCCCUAAGAGGGGAAUCGGCCACCCGGGAACGAGGCAUAGGCCCAGACCACAACGGGAGGGAACGGUAGGGAACUGUGACUAAAGGGCGAAGGCCUGAAGGAGCAACGCCGCGAGAGUGAGGAAGGGGUUCGGAUCGUAAAACACUGUUAUUAGGGAAGAACAUAUGUGUAAGUAACUGUGCACAUCUUGACGGUACCUUAGCAGAAAGCCACGGAUAACUACGUG
rnacentral:rRNA from 1 species